CCUUCUCGGUGUAACUAGGUCAGCGCAAGGUGAUCCUGAGGAGAUAGGCGGCGCUCGGGGGGCGCCCUCGUUCCUCUUAUCGCGCCUUUGUCCCUCCCUCCGUUCCUUGCCCCGCACCCUCACUUUCGCCGCCCUGUGCGUUGCCUGUCCCGGAACUGGUUCCCUCAAGCCGCCCUCACCUGUUCUGACUUCCCCUCGAGGCACAAUAGCCUGAGAGAUCAGACGUGGGAGAUUAGAUUGCUCGGCGUCAGACCUACUUCUAGGCAACCCCCCCUAGACUGGAGCUGCUCGUCGUGGACAUUAGGAUCUAGUUGGGCAUGAGCCCUUAACUUAAGGGUCGGGGGGGAAGUGGCGGGUGCGGAGAGGAGGCGUGGAGAGUGUGAGGAAGAAGAGAGGCACUCUGAGAAGAAGUCGAACAACUAACCCCUCAUUUGGCCUGGUUUGGGUGAGAAGAUUGAGUCACUUGGGGAAAAAAAUAUUGGAGAAGUCAGAGAAGGUGUAAAUCAGUGGUGCCACAAACACCAGUUUACUUCCACUUUUCACCCCCCGGGUCUGUUUUGUCUGCGUGCAGCUCUCCUCGUGUCGGAGACGCUGAGUCAGUUCUCUACUGGUCUUGCCCUCUUCCGGAAAAAGAAAACACACCUGAGAAGUGGUAGUUCCUAUCCUAACCUACUGGGGCCCUUUAUACCAGGUGCCAAACUUCAUUAUCCACCCCACCACCUUGCCCGGGAGGGAGAUCUGUGAAAGCGAAACGUGAUUUAAGCUGGGAUCUGGCAGCAACUUCGUGGACUCUGAAGGGCACGUGGGAAAGGAGUUUUGAUUGAAGAAACCAAUGGCUGCAUUAAAUGAGUCUAUAGAAGAUUUUUCAUCUCUGGACAUGUCUAAUUGCAGAGCUCUAAUUGGAGGAACGUGUGGCAGUAUCUGAAAGGAGAAAAUAGCAUAAAGUGAGGUGUGGAUGUGAAGAACUCAGGGCCAUGUCCAGCAUGGGCAACAGCAAUAGUAGCACUUAUGCAAUGGAAAGAUGAUCCACAGCCCAGAUGAAAUUAAAGCCUUUGGUGAAAAAGAUAAAUCCAAGUACAUUGUCCUCCUUCCCCCCAACUGCUGGUUUGAGUAACACAAUUUGGUGGCUAUUUGAAUUAAUUUAAUAAUUGUUUAAUAAAUAACCAACAUGUGCUAGGCUACAGAAUCCCAUGUUUGAUUUAGCAUCUAGGGAAGUCAGUCAGGGUUUGGAGAUACUGUGAACAUAUCUUUCUUUACUUUUUCUUUUUUCGAGACAGGGUCUUGUUCUGUCACCUAGGCUGGAGUGGCAUGAUCAUGGCUCACUGCAACUUCUGCCUCCCUGGCUCCCAGCCUCAAGUGAUCCUCCCACUCCAGUCCCCUGAAGCAACUGGGACCACAGAGUAAUUUUAUGCUGAUUGAAGAAAAGAAGUAAACAGAGUUCCAGAAAGCAACUGCAAAUACUCAUUUUGAAAAAGAAAACAAAACAAAAACAAGGGAGACAUUUUAAAAGGUGCUAAAGCAACAGGACCAGUUGCCAGAGAGCUUAUUUUACCUCCCCAAAACAAGAUUGGUGUUUCAUCCUUGAGUUUAGUACACAGGAUUGUUCUUAUUCUUCUGCAGAUAGAGAGGUGCACUGCUUUAUGCUGCAAGUUGUCUAUAAGACAAGUUUUGUGAGUAUCAAAUAUUUGUAAGCAAAUCAAAUUUCUCCCCCAGUUGAAAUGAUUAUUUCAGAAGAAUUUCUUCUUUGUUUUGAAUUGGACUUCUGAGUUGGACUUCUCAGCAUGAUAAAGAAGAAAGAGCAUUAGAAUAAGAAAGAAGAUUAAGCUUCUUGUUUUGAUUAUGCCCAUAAUCAGCUGUGGGACCCCGGGCUAAUGCACUCCAAAAUCCCACUGUUCUGUGACCUUGCUAUGUGGGGCAUCAGCCUCCUCAUCUCUAAUAUUUUGGAUUUAAGUUAGUUGAUUUUUAUGGUCCCGCAAUGGAAUUCUUUAAACAACUCCACUAAUCCAUGAUACUGUUGCUUUAAAAAUCUUGGUUUUAGCUUUCCUCUAAGGAAUUUAUAGUGACAAUUAUCUACUUUUUUUUUCUUAAAUAAAAAUAGAGGUGGGGUUUUGCCAUGUUGCCCAGGCUGGUCUCAAACUCUUGGGCUCAAGUGAUCUGCCCACCUUGGCCUCCUAAAGUGCUGGGAUGACAGGUGUGAGCCACUGUACCCGGCCAGACCAUAUGUCUCUAGCAUUUUGAUAACAUUCUCUACAAUCUGGGCCCUGUAUAACUCCCCAGUCUUCAGACUACUACUCUCUAUGCUCACAUCUUUGGCGAUUUUAUACUCUUUGCCAAUUUAGAUGCCAUUUGUUUUUUCGUUUCCAGUAGAUUAGUAUGUCCAACCCAGAUUUUGGUAAACCCUAGACUCAUUCUACAGUCUGUGACAUCUCCAUUUGGAUUUCUUAUUGGCAUCUCAGACUCCAUAUGUCUAACCUGGAAUGCCUGAUCUCCAUUGCCUCCUAAACCGGCUUCUCUCACGGCUCUCCCAUCUCGGGGCCCAGCAUCUCAGACCUUUGCCUUGCUUACACCAGACAUUUUGUUGUUAUCUGUACCACCUCCUUCUCGUGCAGUCUACUUGAUGCCACCUAAUUGGUAUCCCUGGCUUCUGCCCUUGUUCUCUUAACGAAUCAUUUUCCAAACAGCAGCCAGAGUGAUCCUUUCAAAAAUGGAUUCAGAAAUCAUGUCACUGCUCUGCCCAAAGUUCCCAAAUGACUUCCCAGUCACUCAGAGCACAAGCUGACGCUCGACACAUCUGGGCCCCGUAAGAUUUUCAUUUCUGCUCCUCCUCCUUUUGCUCACUCUGCCCCUGCCACAUUGGUCUCCUGCUUUCCCGGAACUUGCCCAACAUGUUCCUCCCUCAGGGCCUUCACAUUUGUCAUUUCCUGUCCUAUGAUGCUCUUCCUGCAGAUAUCUACAGCAGCUCCCCGCUGCUCCUUUUGCAGGUUUUUGUUCAGAUGUCAUCUUCCUGGUGAGCUCUUCCCUGAACAACUCCUCACCCCCUCCACCUUGCCCCUGGGACUCCCUUUGACCUUUCUCGGAUUGUUUUCCCUGUAACUCUUGCCACCACCUCAUACAGGGCUUCUCAAGCUUGGCAUGAUUGGCAUUUUGGGACAGUUCUUUGUUGCGGGCUAUUAUCCUGUGCCUUGCAGGAUGUUUAGCAGCAUCACCACCCUCGACCCACUCAAUACCUGCAACUUUCCUCCCUAGGUUGUGACAGCCAGAAAUGUCUCCAGACACUGCCAAAUGUCUCCUGGGGGACAAAACCACCCCUGGUUGAGAAUCUUUGAUAUAAUGUAAAUAUGCAUUUUACCUAUGUAUUUGUUUAUUGUUCCUCCCUUCCCCACCAAUAAAAUAUAAUCUCCAUGAGAACAGGAAUUUUUGUGUCUAUUUUCCACUGAUGUAAUGCAGGCACUCUGAAUAGGGUAUGAUGCAUAGUAGGUGCUCAAACAGAUAUUUCACUGGUGAAUAAAUGAAAUGUGCUCUGACCUUGUUCCUCUGUGCUCAUUAAGCUCUAGCCACACUGACCUUUCUUCCACCUCUCAGACAUCUGAAGCUCCUUCUCACCUUUCAGUCUUUUUCUUUCAGAUCUCACUCCUGGAAAGCUCUAUUCGCAGGUCUCUGUUUACUUGUUACUCAGGUCCAAUAACACCUGCUUAGAGAGGCUUCCCUGAUCACCGUAUCCUACAUGACCCUCCCUGCCAGCCAGAGUCACUGUCUAUAUUGUUACUGUGUUUUAGUUUCUGCAUUACAUUUGUCUUGGAAAUUAUCUUGUUUACGUGGCAGGUGUACAUCUUGCUCCCUUAAAUGAAUGCUCCUUGACCACUCCACAUUAUCUGCUUUGUUUAUUAACGGCAGUAAUCUAAAACAGUAGUCUAAAACAGUGCAAGGCCCAUCGUUGAUGGGCUGAUUAAAUAAGUAUGCCUGUCUUUUAAUCAAUUCAGGGUGGAAGAGAGUCUCUAUAGAAAGGGUUUAAGGGCUGUGUCUGUCAAGGUCCAGUAGCAAAAAAAAAGAAAAAAGAAAAAAAAAGAGUCUGCUCUAGCUAAUUUGAACAGAAAGGGAUUAAUUAGAGAAUGUGGUUCACCAUCGAGAAGGCUGCAGCAACAUCCUCCACAGUGAGCUUUCAGGAACCACCUUGGAAACCACACACUGACUGGGCCACCAAGGUAGAGACUGCUCUUCUUUGAUUGGGAGAACUACAGCCAAGCUGGGACACUGAGGGGUCAGCUGCUGGGUCUGGGACCAAAUGACCACUUCUGGGAAGAUCACACCUGCAUGAAAAGGAGGUCAGCACUACUGGGAACUGACAAGAUCAAGAGACUGGGGUAAUGACUCUGUGUGGUUCUCCCCGUGUACAUGUUAAUAAAAUGUAUAUCCCUUUUCUCCAAUUAAAAAAAAAUUCCCUAGCAAGUUGACUCAGAAGAAAUAAAUGAAUACUCUCAAAAAACUGCGUCAGAAAAACCAGACACUUCCACUCUAGUGUUGGCUAACAGGAAGCGACAAAGCAGCGGAAGCUUAUUUGUCUUGUCUUCUAGCUCUCAUGCCAGUACGCAUGAUUGGUGGAACAAAACCUCGGCUACUAGGAAGUCUGGGAGAUGUGGCUUUUAGCUUUCCAGUCUCUGUAGCAUGGAGGGCACAUUGGGAACAGGUUAGAAUGGCUGUGAGGGCUGCUAAUCCACUAUACAUAGGAUGGACAGAUGAUUGAUUAUUAAAAAGUUAAUGAAUCUUCAAGUUUAUAUUUGCCAGGCAAGAAGGUCUCAGUAAAACCAAACCAAAAAGGGCCAGGCACUAUUACGAGGCUCAUGCCUGUAAUCCCAGCACUUUGGGAGGCCGAGGUGGGCAGAUCACCUGAGGUCAGGAGUUCAAGACCAGCCUGGCCAACAUGGCAAAACCCUGUAUCUACUAAAAAUACAAAAAAAAAAAAAAAAAAAAAAAAAAAGCCAGGCAUAGUGGUGGGUGCCUGUAAUCCCAGCUACUCAGGAGGCUGAGGCAGGCGAAUUGCUUGAAUCAGGGAGCAGGAGGUUG
rnacentral:lncRNA from 1 species